UUUACUGAGAACAGGCCUUUUGCAGCCUGAAAAAGUUCUGGAAAAGGAAAGGAACUAAGCUGAUGUGGAAAAAUGUACGGCACAGAACACCUGAGGGGAAAAAGGGUGUGUGUGGAAGAAAGAACAUGAGGCAGGAAACAAACUGAGGACCCCUUUCCAUUGCAAGUCCAUCCUGUUUUGCAACAGAGAAAAAAGUUCCAUCCAGUGGUUUAUUUUGUUUUCUGGCUAAAGUUUGACCUGGGGGAGAGGAGCAGCUUACAUAUAUGGGGCUCAACUUCAAAAUCUCCCUGCAAAUCCUGAGUUUGG